ACCCCGAGGAAAAGAAAUCAACCGAGAUUCCCCCAGUAGCGGCGAGCGAACGGGGAGGAGCCCAGAACCUGAAUCAGCGUAUGUGUUAGUGGAAGCGUCUGGAAAGUCGCACGGUACAGGGUGAUAGUCCCGUACACAAAAAUGCAUAUGUUGUGAGUUCGAUGAGUAGGGCGGGACACGUGACAUCCUGUCUGAAUAUGGGGGGACCAUCCUCCAAGGCUAAAUACUCCUGACUGACCGAUAGUGAACCAGUACCGUGAGGGAAAGGCGAAAAGAACCCCGGCGAGGGGAGUGAAACAGAACCUGAAACCGUGUACGUACAAGCAGUGGGAGCACCUUCGUGGUGUGACUGCGUACCUUUUGUAUAAUGGGUCAGCGACUUAUAUUUUGUAGCAAGGUUAACCGAAUAGGGGAGCCGUAGGGAAACCGAGUCUUAACUGGGCGAAUAGUUGCAAGGUAUAGACCCGAAACCCGGUGAUCUAGCCAUGGGCAGGUUGAAGGUUGGGUAACACUAACUGGAGGACCGAACCGACUAAUGUUGAAAAAUUAGCGGAUGACUUGUGGCUGGGGGUGAAAGGCCAAUCAAACCGGGAGAUAGCUGGUUCUCCCCGAAAGCUAUUUAGGUAGCGCCUCGUGAACUCAUCUUCGGGGGUAGAGCACUGUUUCGGCUAGGGGGUCAUCCCGACUUACCAAACCGAUGCAAACUCCGAAUACCGAAGAAUGUUAUCACGGGAGACACACGGCGGGUGCUAACGUCCGUCGUGAAGAGGGAAACAACCCAGACCGCCAGCUAAGGUCCCAAAGUCAUGGUUAAGUGGGAAACGAUGUGGGAAGGCACAGACAGCCAGGAUGUUGGCUUAGAAGCAGCCAUCAUUUAAAGAAAGCGUAAUAGCUCACUGGUCGAGUCGGCCUGCGCGGAAGAUGUAACGGGGCUAAACCAUGCACCGAAGCUGCGG
rnacentral:rRNA from 1 species